rnacentral:tRNA from 11 species
GGGCCCGUAGAUCAGCCUGGAAGAUCGCCUGCUUUGCAAGCAGGAGGCCUCGGGUUCAAAUCCCGACGGGUCCACCA